rnacentral:rRNA from 1 species
GACGUAGGGCGCGAGCGUUGUCCGGAUUUAUUGGGCGUAAAGAGCUCGUAGGCGGCUCGUUGCGUCGGCUGUGAAAACCCGCAGCUCAACUGUGGGCUUGCAGCUGAUACGGGCGGGCUGGAGUUCGGUAGGGGAGACUGGAAUUCCUGGUGUAGCGGUGAAAUGCGCAGAUAUCAGGAGGAACACCGGUGGCGAAGGCGGCGCUCUGGACCGAGACUGACGCUGAGGCGCGAAAGCGUGGGGAGCAAACAGG